rnacentral:tRNA from 1 species
GGCCUCAUAGCUCAGUUGGCUAGAGCGAUGGCUGUACCAAAGCCCUCCCUUUGCUAGCGUUGGUUAGAAUCCCACCGAGGCCA